UGUCUGGGAAACUGCCUGAUGGAGGGGGAUAACUACUGGAAACGGUAGCUAAUACCGCAUAACGUCGCAAGACCAAAGUGGGGGACCUUCGGGCCUCAUGCCAUCAGAUGUGCCCAGAUGGGAUUAGCUAGUAGGUGGGGUAACGGCUCACCUAGGCGACGAUCCCUAGCUGGUCUGAGAGGAUGACCAGCCACACUGGAACUGAGACACGGUCCAGACUCCUACGGGAGGCAGCAGUGGGGAAUAUUGCACAAUGGGCGCAAGCCUGAUGCAGCCAUGCCGCGUGUAUGAAGAAGGCCUUCGGGUUGUAAAGUACUUUCAGCGGGGAGGAAGGCGAUAAGGUUAAUAACCUUGUCGAUUGACGUUACCCGCAGAAGAAGCACCGGCUAACUCCGUGCCAGCAGCCGCGGUAAUACGGAGGGUGCAAGCGUUAAUCGGAAUUACUGGGCGUAAAGCGCACGCAGGCGGUCUGUCAAGUCGGAUGUGAAAUCCCCGGGCUCAACCUGGGAACUGCAUUCGAAACUGGCAGGCUAGAGUCUUGUAGAGGGGGGUAGAAUUCCAGGUGUAGCGGUGAAAUGCGUAGAGAUCUGGAGGAAUACCGGUGGCGAAGGCGGCCCCCUGGACAAAGACUGACGCUCAGGUGCGAAAGCGUGGGGAGCAAACAGGAUUAUAUACCCUGGUAGUCCACGCCGUAAACGAUGUCGAUUUGGAGGUUGUGCCCUUGAGGCGUGCCUUCCGGAGCUAACGCGUUAAAUCGACCGCCUGGGGAGUACGGCCGCAGGCUAAAACUCAAAUGAAUU
rnacentral:rRNA from 1 species